GCAACAGGGGAACUGGCAGAGAAAUUUCUGAUCCUAAUUUAUCCGAUUUUAUCUCGGUAAUCCUUUGCCAAAAACAUUUCAAUCUCAACGAAUGGUAACUUCAGGAGACAUCAAACUUGUUGAGGGAAAAAGUUUGCUAUGUCCGUCUGGCGUGUCUUCUCGUUGUCAGCAGAAUAAAAGCCGAUGCCACAACCCUUUCAAUGUCACGACGGCGGGCUCCUGGCCGAGAUCACAGUUAUACCAAAGAUUCACCACUCUAUAGAACUGUUCAAGCAUGUAACACCAUCAACGUCACGAUAUCGGAGUAGUCAUAAACGUUACUGAUGAUAAUCUGCUGAAGUUUGCCGCCGUUAAUGUCAUCAUCGCCACUGUCGUGUUCACAGUAGCUCCGGAGGAGAAUGGAUGCCAUUGUCGUGUUCACAGUAGCUGUAGCUCCGGAGGAGAAUGGAUGCCACUGUCGUGUUCACAGUAGCUCCCGAGGAGAAUGGAUGCCACUGCCGUGUUCACAGUGGCUGUAGCUCCCGAGGAGAAUGGAUACCUUGUGCUAUUGACUUACAUUCGAGAUGUCCGAUGAGUUCGAUCGAGUGUGACGGAUUACAGACGAGGACCUAUGUCCGGACUUGCAUCUUGGCACCAGUUUUUGAAUCGAUAGCCUGAUAGGAGGAUGUGUCUUUAUAGUGAGUGGACAGUGGACAGUCUAUUUGAUGAGAAGAUGAUGUGGUGUCUACGUUGGUACACCACGCUGUAAAAACUGUUUUGACUUUCUUUGCUGAAUGGCUUGAUAUGCAAUCAUUAUGACGAACAAACAAUAUGUUUCAUCAUUUUCUUUGCUGAUGUUAAUGAAAUAGGCUAGGCUAAUAAACAAAAUUGUUUCAUGAAUUGUUCUUUGUUGAUUAGGUUUGAUAUGCAAUCGAUCUUCUAACCCAAGUCCUGACUGCAUCAGAACAAAUUCACCAAUUGUCGUUUGUUGAUUAGCUUCAUGCAGUCGAUCUUUAAACGCCAUCAGUCCUGACUCAAUGGCUAAUUAACAAAUAAAUUGUUCUUUCUUGAUUAGGUUUGAUAUGCAAUCGAUCUUUUAACCCAAGUCCUGACUGCAUCAGAACAAAUAAAUUGUUUUAUCUGCUUUGUUCUUUUACCGCAUGGGUAAUAAUCAAACGAAAUAUUUCAUCAAUUGUCAUCAUGCAGUCGGAUCUUUAAUCGCCAUUAGUCCUGACUCAAUGGCUAAUUCAAACGAAUUGUUCCAUCAAUUGUCUUCAUGCAGUCGAUCUUUAAUGGCAAUUAGUGCUGACUCAAUGGCUAAUUAACAAAUAAAUUGUUCUUUCUUGAUCAGGUUACCCCUCGUCUUGACCACAUGGGUAAUGAUCGAACGAAUUGUUCCAUCAAUUGUCUUUAAUCGCCAUCCAUUAGUUAAUGGCAAUUAGUGCUGACUCAAUGGCUAAUUAACAAAUAAAUUGUUCUUUCUUGAUCAGGUUACCCCUCGUCUUGACCACAUGGGUAAUGAUCGAACGAAUUGUUCCAUCAAUUGUCUUUAAUCGCCAUCCAUUAGUCCUGACUCAAUGGCCAAUUAACAAAUAAAUUGUUCUUUCUUGAUUAGGUUACCCCUCGUCUGGACUGCAUGGGUAAUGAUUUCAUCAAUUGUCUUGAUGUAAUCCAUCGCCAUUAGUGCUGACUCAAUGGCUAAUUAACAAAUCAAUUGUUCUUUCUUGAUUACCCCUCGGGUAAUAAUCAAAGGAAUUGUUUUCA